UUAUGAGCUGCAAUAUAGCGAAGAGCAGCUGAGGCUGAACAGGAGGCAGCUGAGGCUUCUGCAGCCGAGGCAGAGGACCUGCCUGUCGCGGACGAGGAGCCCGGACUGGCUCGAGCUGGGGCGGACUGCUGGUGCCUGUGCUCUCGCUGUGCGCCUACGGACACACGGACGUCUGACUGUAAAACAAUAUCGCCUAACAGCCUUUCUGGAAUGGGUCCUGCAAGGCGAGAGAUUGGGUCGAGGCCAUCGUGUCGUUUUACCCGCUUAUGUGGUGCAGGCUAUCCGACAGAAAUAUCCAGCUCCAGAUGGCCAGUACUGCGGGCACCAAGAAGUUGAGGACGCUCAGGAGGAACUAUAACUGUCAUUGUUAACAUAUUUCUUUUUGUUGUUGUUGAUAUAUUUCUGUAAAUAAAUGGUUUACAUUCA